GCUAUGUUGUAUUUUAUUUUUAAAUCUAUAUUUAAUUCAUAUUAUAUUUACCUCUCUUUUUACCUGUACAAAUCAUCCUCUUUUUUUUUUUUUUUUUUUUUUUUUUUUUUUUACUUUGCUUUUAGAAAUAACGAUACAAUUCAAGGGAAAGACGCUGACUACGAAUUCACUUGUUAUUGAUAAUGAGAGCUCCGAUGACGUACGUUAUUGUUGAAUAAGGAUCUGUUGCAUAAUCCAUCUCACACUCUUUCCUUCAUGUCAAGUCCUACAUCAUUGUGUUGUACAAAAAAUUAUUAACUAACUCAUCGUUGAACUUAACAAUACCAAAACUAGAAACAAUUGGGUACUUCAUAGUACUCUAUCACCAAUCAUGAAAGUAAAAAUGGCUUAUUUAGAACAACAAUAUUUCAAAUAGGGCCCAGAACCCACUCAUUUCCGUUACAGAGGCCUAACAAAAAGUAUGAUUAAUGUUUUAUCGAGAUUCAAUAAAUAUUUUUCUUUGCAUGAAUAACCAUCCUUCAUUUUCAAAACUUAAUUAAAAACUUGAGAGCCGCUGGUUGAAUGAUGUUAUACGUUUGAUAACGACACAUUCUAUGAUUCAAAAUCUAACGCCGAACUCAUUUCAAAACUUGAUUUAUAGAUUGAAUGAAUAAUGGCUCUAAUAGUUGUUAAGGUGAGUAUAAAUUACCUAUAUCAUUGAUAUAUUUUGACAUUUAGUUCUACUACUUUGACUCAACCAACUCCUUUGACAGGAAAAACAAAAUCGUACUCACAAUUUAAACAUUUGUACGGACACCCUUUCAUAUACAUGGAAUAAUAACCUGAAUAUGGUGUUGUUUUUCUUUCUUCUAUACCCAGGAAAAGGAUGAUUAAACGUCAUGAGAAAAAUCCCUUUGUGGCCGAGUACGUACGACUUGAUUCAAAGGACUCUAACGGUUAAACUUUAAUGGCAAGUGAACUGCAUUUUGAAGGCUCUUUGUUGGAAAUAUUAUAUGUACGAUGAGGUCGUAUCUUUUAGUGAGAAAAAGGAAGGAUAACGAACCAUUUCAUUUGAUAAAUCAUAUUUAACGAGAAAGGUAGUAUUCGAGUCUAAAAAUUGGACAUAAGUCGAUUUUUUAUCGAAUCUAACUUGGAUAUUUUUUUUCAAAAUUAACAAUUCAUUGUCUCAUAUUUCUACAUAAUAUUUUUACUUAAUUGUUUAAUCUACUCAGAUCUGUAGAACUUGAGUAAUUUUUUAUAGAUUUGGAACUUAAACUCGGAACUAUAUAGAUUCGAACUUGAUUUAAAUACGGAAAAAGUGGACUUGAAUUCAGCUAUGUAACUAACCCAAAAAAUGAAAUCAUUGCAAGGUUCUAGAUGGGACCAAAGCUAUAAAACCAAUUAGCGAUCAAUAUUUGUUCACAUUUAUUUGGCUACUUGACAAAAAAAAUUUCGUCCACUAGGGUCGUUGAGGGUUACCACGGCGUAACCUCGCUAACACAAAAAUACCAUAUGACCUAGGUAUUUUGUUGUCAGCUGUUGAAGUAAUAAGUUGUUUUGUUAUUAUGCUGCUCCGUUUUUCUUAUAAUAUUACUAAGUAAUAUUAUAAAACAGUAUCGAAUAAAAUAAUAUGUAUGAUUUUAAUAUUAUGAAAUAUAUAUAUAUGUAAUUCA
rnacentral:lncRNA from 1 species